GAAGCGGCAACAGCUCAAAUUUGAAAUCUGGCUCCUUCGGGGCCCGAGUUGUAAUUUGGAGAGGAUGUUUCGGGCACGGUCCGGGCUUAAAUUUCUUGGAACAGAAUGUCACGGAGGGUGAGAAUCCCGUCUGGAGCUCGGACACGACCCAUGUGAAACUCCUUCGACGAGUCGAGUUGUUUGGGAAUGCAGCUCUAAAUGGGUGGUAAAUUUCAUCUAAAGCUAAAUAUUGGCCAGAGACCGAUAGCGCACAAGUAGAGUGAUCGAAAGAUGAAAAGCACUUUGAAAAGAGAGUUAAACAGUACGUGAAAUUGUUGAAAGGGAAGCGCUGGCAACCAGACUUGCGCGUCGGGGUUCCCCCUUGCUUCUGCCUGGGUUACUCCCCGGCGUUCAGGCCAACAUCGGUUUCGGGGGUCGGUUAAAGGCCCUGGGAAUGUACCUACCCUCCGGGGUAGACUUAUAGCCCAGGGUGUCAUGCGGCCUCCCGGGACCGAGGAACGCGCUUCGGCUCGGAUGUUGGCGUAAUGGUUGUCAGCGACCCGUCUUGAAACACGGACCAAGGAGUCUAACAUCUAUGCGAGUGUUAGGGUGUCAAACCCUUACGCGGAAUGAAAGUGAACGGAGGUAGGAAGCCUUACGGCUGCACUAUCGACCGAUCCUGAAGUUUACGGAUGGAUUUGAGUAAGAGCAUAGCUGUUGGGACCCGAAAGAUGGUGAA
rnacentral:rRNA from 1 species